rnacentral:lncRNA from 1 species
GUACCUUUCAGGAGACACUCCCCAUCCUGCCCUGUGGAACUCUGACCUGGGGCUGCACAGAGGAUCCUGACCUAUGGAGAAGAAUUCUCCUGGUUUCCCCUGCACCCCUCAGAAGAUAAAAAGGACUGGACGCUUACCCUACCAAGGAAGGAACCCAGGCCCCUGAAGUGGAAACUUGGAGUUCUAAUCACUGAACAGCCAGGAAAGCACCCUU